rnacentral:rRNA from 1 species
UACGUAGGGAGCAAGCGUUGUCCGGAAUCAUUGGGCGUAAAGCGCGCGUAGGUGGCCCCGUAAGUCCGCUGUGAAAGUCAAAGGCUCAACCUUUGAAAGCCGGUGGAUACUGUGGGACUAGAGUACGGAAGAGGCGAGUGGAAUUCCCGGUGUAGCGGUGAAAUGCGCAGAUAUCGGGAGGAACACCAAUGGCGAAGGCAGCUCGCUGGGACGGUACUGACGCUGAGGCGCGAAAGCGUGGGGAGCAAACAGG